rnacentral:lncRNA from 1 species
UGGCCAAUCAAUAAAACUAGUUUCUCUCACUUUUAUCUUUAAAUUUUUUGGUUUUAGUUUUUCAGUAAGACUCCUAAUUUAAGAGUGGUGUUAGAGUACUUCUAUCAUAUCUUUGGCUACAUUCUUUCCUUCUAUUCAAUAGAUAGUGAGAUGAUAGCUAAAGUCCUUAAAGAUCGGGACACCAAGACCCAUAUUGCUUUCUUUCUAUUUGUC